AUGGAAGGGUUUCAAGUAACACCCUCAAUACACACAAGUUACAGACCGCCAUUUACAAAUGAGUUCACUUUUCAUUCAUUCUCACACCAUGCUGUUAAAAGUCAGGCCAUGAUUUCUAGGUGAUAGAUGAGGAAGCCACCUUGCAAUUGUGCGUCAGUGUCUGGGGUAAGAGGCAGAGCAGUGCCUUGACUCCAGGGCUUCUGCCUGCAAGGGCAUUGGUCUUCUGCUGGACUGUAGCUGCUUACAGAGUCUAUGCUUCAGUAAUCUGUAACAGAAAGGAUAUUCCAUGUAGAAAUGCCAUGGGGGACAAAGGAUGCAUUGGGGGGUGGCCCCUUGGGUUUCACCUCAGCCGGUCCUCAUAAUCAGUGGUGUUAAGGGCCACACAAGGUGGGUCUGGACCAGGUGGAGCUGUGUGCACACUAUCCACUGCAGCAGCGUAAGAUGGUGUUUGUUAAGAAGGGGUACUGCUGCUUUAAAGACAUUGUACAAAGAUCCUUCAUGCACACAGUAUAGUGGUUCCCAGCCUCUUUCCCUCAUUCCCCAUCACCUCAAAGGGACCACCUUCAACCUCUUUUAAGAUGGUUAUUUUGAAGCUUAUCUGGACUAAAAAAGGACUAAACAUACCAAAAGCAAAAAAUUUGCUGAUAAACUCAUCCUGUUUUUAAAAAUCUCUUCCAAAUCACUAAGCAUGAAUCAGAAAGUCAUGUUAACGAUCAGGAGUUAAGUUGUGACAAUAUCCCAACCUUUAGGUAGAAGGGGUAGGCUUAUACAUUUCUUCAGUCUAAAGGUUUUAGGACUAAGUCAGGAACUUAAAACUUCCCUGGGACCAUUAUGUAUCCCAUUCUUCACUUACCUGCUUUGGUCAUUCUUUGCACCCUAGAUGUAAUCAUCUCCCAAAGCUCCCCUUAGGGUGCUCCCUCCCCACUCCUGUCAGCUGUGCCCCUGCCAGUCCUAGGGUGCUCCAAACUCAGGCUUCAACCAGGUGUGGGUGGUCUGCCAGUCCAGUCCCUCAGUCUCACCAUUUUACACUCCUCCUACCCACAACCCACACAGCAGAGCAAAUCAACUCUUCCCAACUUCAAACUCCUGUCUUUUUUUAAAGGUUCAGUUUUGUUAGUCCUCGCACAUAUUUUUUACUCCUGUGUGAAUCAGAACCCUCACCACUUUGUUUAGUUGAAUAAAACUGGUUUUCAGCCAUAUAAGCACUCUCCAUUCUAAUUUCUCCUAUAAAGUACUUUAUAUGCUGGUUGAAAUACAGCACAUUCGCUUCAUUUCUCUACUCAAUCUGAAUUAGUCGCUUAUUGCCUACAGGAUAAAAAUCUAAGUGAAAAAAAAACACUCAUUUACCCUAUUCUUAGCGUCUUUCCCAAUUCUUCACAAUUCUCCCCUCUGGCAGGAUGAUCUAAAACAGUUCUGCUCUGGCUGUCCAUUUGAGCUCAGGCUUCUGUCUCCAUCCCCACUCUAGACUUUCUCCUUUCACCUCCAAACCACAUAUCCUGUCUGUUCCAAUUCUCUGCCUCCAUAUGGACCACCCUUUCUCAGUAGUCCUGCUAGAUCGAUGUUCUCAACUAUGCCAAACUCUCCUUACCACCACCACCCAGAUCUUUAUCCAACUAGUGUUUCAGAUUACACUGCAUUUUCCCUGAAUGCAGGAAUUCUAACUUAAGAUUCUUUUUGCAGAUCCUUUGAAUAUGGGCCGUAUAGUUAAUAGGGCUUUCCAGGUGGCAUUAGUGUUAAAGAAUCUGCCUGUUAAUGCAGGAGAGACGCAGCUUCGAUCCCUGGGUUGGGAAGAUCCCCUGCAGAAUGGAAUUUCAGCAACCCACUCCAGUAUGCUUGCCUUGGAGAAUCCUAUUGGCAGAGGAGCCUGGUGGGCUAUAGUACAUAUAGUGGCAAAGACUUAGACACGACUGAAGUGACUUAGCACACAGCACACUAUACUAUAAGUGACAACACACUUUCAAAAUGAAAUACUAUUGAUUCACCUGGUAGGGAACCAGCACAGACAACCAAAUAGUACAUGAAUCCAUUAGUCACUUACACUCCAGUGAUUUAUGAGAGGCUCUCCUGGACUGCAGUCCCUCCGACUUGGCCAUGUGGGUUUGCUUUGGAGCCUGACACCAGUGCUUUCACAGCCAUCCUGUCGUUUCCACUGGUAAAUAACAGGGACACACUCACAUUGACCACAGACUUGUAAAAACUUGCACUUAUUUCUGGUGGGCCAGACCACAAGCUGGGAAGGGACAGAGCUCUUAGGUGGCAUCCUGAUUAUCCUUCCAGCCUUGUGAUAAGACCUUCCUGUGGAAGAUGUCAGAGGGCCCUGUGGACUCACUUCUUCAAGGAGGCAUGCUACCUCAUCCAUGUCACCCUCCUCUUCCAACUCAGAGUCUUCUGAAUCCUCAGGAAGCACAACGGUCAAGAAAGUAGUUUUCUUCAACAGAUAGGCUGUCUUAGCAUUUGAGAAGCUGCUCAUGUCUUUCAGCUUCCUGCCUUUCACAGUCUUUUUAACUUUUGCACACCUUUUCAAGUUCUCAUGCCUCCUCAGUCUCAUCAUUUAAGAUCACUUCAUCUUUAUCCACGCUCUGUUUCCUGUUUGUAACUUUUUUUCCAUGAUCCCCUGGUUUUGCUGUCUGAUGCCGUCUCCACCCCUGGAGGGCAUCUGCCGGGGAGAUUUCUCUACCUGGGCUUCGUAGCAGCUCAUGUUGCACUGGAUGCCCUCAUCCACUUUGUUGACCUGGGCCAACCAGGUAGGGGAGGAACCCUGUCCCUCAUAGUUACUGUUCUCUCCCUCACCUUCAUAAUCCUGUUUAUCCUGGUUCCUACACUCAGUCUGCUUGGCUGCAUAUCUCAUGUCACACUGGAUGCCUUCAUCCACUGUGUUGAACCGGGCCAACCAGGCAGGGGAGGAACCGUGCCCCUCAUAGUUAUUCUCUACCUCACUUUCAUAUUCAUACUCAUCUUCAUCCUGGUACCCACUCUCCACUGGCUCUGCUGCCUCUCAUUUCCCACUGGAUGCCCACACCCAGUCUAUGCAGAGUAGGAGGAGGGGAGGAACACUGACACCCCUCAUGGAGGAUAUGAUCUUCACUUCCGGAUGGCAUUUGAUGGGGUUCUCUCUCCAACUGCAUGUCCUCACUUCCUUCAUUAUGCAGGGAGGCAGGGAACAGUAUAUGGGAAUAAAAACACUCCUCAUAACUACCAGAAUAAUAAUCAUCAUCAAAUUCAAUGAGAUCCACAUACUCCUACCAUGGUCCUUCACUGCUUUCUGAUGAUGGCUCGUUCUGCUUAUCACAGCACUGAACCAUGUCCCCCUGGAUGGCCUCAUCUACUCUGUUGACCAGGGUCAACCAGGUUCAAUGAGGUCCCGAUAAUCUCACCAUGGUCCUGCACUGCUUUCUGAUGAUGACUCAGGCUGUGCAUCAUGGCACUGACCCACGUCACCCUGGAUGCCAUCAUCUACUUUGUUGACCUGAGCCAACCAGCCCAAAGCCGCUGACACUUAAGGACGAGGAGUCUACCGGGAAGAAGCGGAGAGGAAGGAGGCCAAUCUGGACCUAGGACAGACCUGAGAGGGGAAAGAUUCCCACAGAUUCUACUGUUUUCAUUAUGGGCAAGAGAAAUGGAUGAAGGAAAAUGGACUAUAUGUAUGCACUGAAACAGAGUUGUUAUGUUUGCUUUUUUAGAGGUCAAAGAACUAUUUGGACUCAUUCUAACCAUUUUGAGCACUUUGCAAAAAAGAAAAAAAAAGCAUAUGCUUGUAAAUUAUUAAACAAAACAUUUAAGUAGCAAUGGUAUAGAACUAAACUAUUUUAAAGAUCAAUUAAAAAAUACAAAGCUGCAAA